rnacentral:rRNA from 1 species
UACGUAGGGGGCAAGCGUUGUCCGGAAUCAUUGGGCGUAAAGCGCGUGUAGGCGGCUUGGUAAGUCCGUUCUGAAAGCCCGGGGCUCAACCCCGGGAGGCGGAUGGAUACUGUCAAGCUUGAGUCCGGAAGAGGCGAGUGGAAUUCCCGGUGUAGCGGUGAAAUGCGCAGAUAUCGGGAGGAACACCGAUGGCGAAGGCAGGUCUCUGGGCAUUAACUGACGCUGAGGAGCGAAAGCAUGGGGAGCGAACAGG